UACGGGGGGGGCAAGCGUUGUUCGGAAUUACUGGGCGUAAAGGGCUCGUAGGUGGCCAACUAAGUCAGACGUGAAAUCCCUCAGCUUAACUGGGGAACUGCGUCUGAUACUGGAUGGCUUGAGUUUGGGAGAGGGAUGCGGAAUUCCAGGUGUAGCGGUGAAAUGCGUAGAUAUCUGGAGGAACACCGAUGGCGAAGGCAGCCCCCUGGGCCGACACUGACGCUCAGGCACGAAAGCGUGGGGAGCAAACAGG
rnacentral:rRNA from 1 species